GACGAACGCUGGCGGCGCGCUUAACACAUGCAAGUCGAACGGAAAGGCCUGCUUUCCCUUGUGGAUUGCGGGUACUCGAGUGGCGAACGGGUGAGUAACACGUGAGUGAUCUGCCCCCAACUUGGGUAUAAGCCUGGGAAACUGGGUCUAAUUCCCGAUAGGACUGCAGGGUGGUGCCUGUGGUGGAAAACGAUUUUCUAGUGGUUGGGGAUGAGCUCGCGGCCUAUCAGCUUGUUGGUGGGGUAAUGGCCUACCAAGGCGGCGACGGGUAGCCGGCCUGGGAGGGUGGACGGCGACAUUGGGACUGAGAUACGGCCCAGACUCCUACGGGAGGCAGCAGUGGGGAAUAUUGCACAGUGGGCGGAAGCCUGAUGCAGCGACGCCGCGUGGGGGAUGACGGCCUUCGGGUUGUAAACUCCUUUCGACCGCGAGGAAGCCACCUGGUUGGAAGGGUGGUGACGGUAGUGGUAGAAGAAGCACCGGCUAACUACGUG
rnacentral:rRNA from 1 species